GAUGAACGCUGGCGGCGUGCCUAAUACAUGCAAGUCGAGCGAACGGACGAGAAGCUUGCUUCUCUGAUGUUAGCGGCGGACGGGUGAGUAACACGUGGAUAACCUACCUAUAAGACUGGGGUAACAUCGGGAAACCGGAGCUAAUACCGGAUAAUAUUUUGAACCGGAUGGUUCAAAAGUGAAAGACGGUCUUGCUGUCACUUAUAGAUGAAUCCGCGCUGCAUUCGCUAGUUGGUAAGGUAACGGCUUACCAAGGCAACGAUGCAGAGCCGACCUGAGCGCGUGGUCCGCCACCCUGGAACUGAGACACGGUCCAGACUCCUACGGGAGGCAGCAGUAGGGAAUCUUCCGCGAUGGGCGAAAGCCUGACGGAGCAACGCCGCGUGAGUGAUGAAGGUCUUCGGCUCGUAAAACUCUGUUAUUAGGGAAGAACAUAUGUGUAAGUAACUGUGCACAUCUUGACGGUACCUAAUCAGAAAGCCCCGGCUAACUACGUG
rnacentral:rRNA from 1 species